rnacentral:lncRNA from 1 species
GCAAACUAUCAGCUCUGUCUGCUCAUCUCUCGGCUUGAGCAUUGCUGGCUUAUGCAGCUUCCAGGUGUUCUCGCCAGGCCCUCUGAUCCGGUUCUAUCAAAAUGGAAGCUAGCCACCCAGUCCAGCACUACAAGACCUUUGGGCCUGAGAAGGCAGUGGAAUGGGUCUCUAGAAACUGACUUUGACAAGGGCUCCUAUAUUCAAACAUGACUGGAGGCUGACCCCUGGUGGAUGGUAGACCUGGGAUCUCUGUACGCUGGAAAUGGUGGUGAUUAUCAACCUAAGGGAGUGCUGUCAGGAGGAGCUUAACAGAACCAUGACAAAUGGGAGACUCACCUAGUAAUCGUGAGAAGUUAAAUUUUAAGGAUAAAAGGAAAAUUACUUUUGAAAGAUGAUCAAAUCCAUGUGUUUUUUGUUGUUGAUCUAAGGAAAAUUUUUUAAUUAAACCCAUUUUUUUAAAAGUCA